GAACCGUAGUUAAUCCUUAACCCUUGCUGUGUGCUAUAUCUACAACCUCCUAACGCUCCCUUCCUCUUUGUACCCGUUAUCGCAGCCACAUCGCUGUCUGCUCUCAAACUCUCUCCUCCGCGGAAGCCUAAUCUUCCGAUUAACAGGUAAUUUUAAAUUGGACACAGAGCAAACAAUUUUGUGGAGAUGAGAGGAAGGAGUUAUAGUCCAUCACCUCCAAGGGGCUAUAGUAGAAGGGGACGGAGUCCUAGUCCUCGGGGACGUUAUGGUGGACGUAGUAGGGAUCUUCCUACUAGCCUUCUAGUUCGCAACCUCCGUCAUGAUUGCAGGCCAGAAGACCUUCGCAGGCCAUUUGAACAGUUUGGUGCUCUUAAGGACAUCUACUUGCCUAGAGACUAUUAUACUGGGGAACCCCGUGGUUUUGGUUUUGUCCAAUAUGCAGAUCCUCAUGAUGCUGCAGAGGCAAAACAUCAUAUGGAUGGUCGUGUCUUUCUUGGCCGGGAGUUGACUGUUGUAUUUGCCGAGGAGAAUAGGAAGAAGCCAAUGGAUAUGAGAGCAAGGGAGCGCACAGCCACUAGGGGUCGAGUUGGUGAUAGAAGAAGAUCACCUCCUCGUUAUUCUCGGUCACCACGCCAUUCCCGUUCUCCACCGCCACGCCAUGCAACAUCCCGGUCUCACAGUCGUGAUUAUUAUUCCCCUCCAAAAAGAAGGCAUCACUCAAGAUCUGUUUCACCCCGAGAGAGGAGGUACAGUCAACAGAGGUCAUAUUCACGAUCAAGGAGCCACAGCCAAACUCCAAAUAGGGGUCAGAUCCGGAGCCCAGUUAGGAGCCGAAGCCGUAGCCCAAGAAAAAGCAGAAGCCGUAGCCCAAUUCAUGAUGAAUAUCCUAAAGAAGUAAAUGGAGACAAGUCUCCUAGUCCAUAAUCCUUGCAUGGAAACAGAUGGUUGUAUCACCUGCUUGUCCUUUGGAUUAUGUUUUUGAUAAUGUUGAGAGGCAUUUCCUCUGUGAUGUGUUGUGCCCUGCAAACGGCCCAGUGAUUCAGCUAAGCUUUUUUUUUUUAGUGGGGGAGCAGCUGUCUUGGAUCUGUCUUUAUGGGAAAAGUGUGGUUUCUGCGGGACCAAAAAGUAUAAAAAGGGAGAUGAUUUUGACGUUUGGUACCCUCAGCAUUCCACUUUACAACUAAGCAGGGAUAUAAUUUUCUUUGUGUGCAGUGUCUGGUCUUUAUCCAGGCGGAUUUGGCAUCAAACAUUCUGAUGUCAAAUUCAUGUGCUUUACUUCUUAGGGCUCCACUCUGAGAUUAUAUCGAGAUUUAUGGAGUUGCAUUGACGCUCCCAUCAAGUUUGGUUCCCUUGAAAACCUGUUCAAAAGGUAUCAUGGUAGUAAAGCUUGCUUCUUUGAGCUUAAACUGUGGAAUGUCUCUCAUCUGGGUUUCAAAAUAUGAAAAUGAAGUAAAUGUUCCUUGUUCC